rnacentral:lncRNA from 1 species
GGCCUUUUUUUUAAUAAUAAAUUUUUUUAAUAAAUAUAAAAUAUUAAAAAAAUGAUAUGAAAAUGGAUAGCUAUCAAGUACACUAUUUCAACAAAGGUACAUGAAUCUAACAAAGAUAGGCCAGAAAUCUUUUUAAUUUAAUAUUAUUUUUGAAUGGAAAUGCAGAAAAGUAAUUAUCCUAAAAGAAGGGCCAUAAAACUGAUUAAAUAACUGAGAUAAUGCUUGGCAAUUUUGUUU